CACAUGGUCUUUUUCAGGACCACAACCCCUACCAAAAAAAAAAAAU
rfam:Egretta garzetta contig60000, whole genome shotgun sequence.